rnacentral:rRNA from 1 species
ACGAGGUUCUUCGGAACCUAGUGGCGGACGGGUGAGUAACACGUGAGAAUCUGGCUUCAGGACGGGGACAACAAGGGGAAACCCUUGCUAAUACCGGAUAGGCCGAAAGGUGAAAGAUUUAUCGCCUGAAGAUGAGCUCGCGACUGAUUAGCUAGUUGGUGGCGGUAAGAGCCCACCAAGGCAACGAUCAGUAGCUGGUCUGAGAGGAUGAUCAGCCACACUGGGACUGAGACACGGAUGAGCCAAGCCAGUGGGGGAAAUUUUCCCGCAAAGGGGCGCCAAGCCUAACAGAUGCAAUAACGAGUUUGCGGGAGGGAAGGGCCCUUGGGGUGUAAUUCGGCUUAUUUAGGGAAGAAAAAUUUGACGGUACCUAAGGAAUAGGCCUCGGCUUACUCCGUUUCCAGCAGCCGCCGGUAAGACGGAGGAGGCCAAGCGUUUUCUGGAAUUAAUUGGGCGUAAAGCUCCCGCAGGUGGCAUCUCAAAGUCUGCUGUCAAAGCCCCAGGGCUCAACUCUGGAAUCGGCCAGUGGAAAACUGAGACGGCUAGAGUACCGGUAGGGGCAGAGGGGAAUUCCCCAGUGUAGCGGGUGAAAUGCGUAGAUAUGGGGGAAGAACCCCCAGUAGCGAAAGCCGCUCUGGUGGGGUGUAACUGACACUCAUGGACGAAAGCUAGGGGAGCGAAAGGGAUUAGAUACCCCUGUAGUCCUAGCCGUAAACGAUGGACACUAGGUGUUGCGCGUAUCGACCCGUGCAGUGCCGUAGC